rnacentral:rRNA from 1 species
GUGGGGAAUAUUGCGCAAUGGGGGGAACCCUGACGCAGCCAUGCCGCGUGAAUGAAGAAGGCCUUCGGGUUGUAAAGUUCUUUCGGUAUUGAGGAAGGUUGAUGUGUUAAUAGUACAUCAAAUUGACGUUAAAUACAGAAGAAGCACCGGCUAACUCCGUGCCAGCAGCCGCGGUAAUACGGAGGGUGCGAGCGUUAAUCGGAAUAACUGGGCGUAAAGGGCACGCAGGCGGUUAUUUAAGUGAGGUGUGAAAGCCCCGGGCUUAACCUGGGAAUUGCAUUUCAGACUGGGUAACUAGAGUACUUUAGGGAGGGGUAGAAUUCCACGUGUAGCGGUGAAAUGCGUAGAGAUGUGGAGGAAUACCGAAGGCGAAGGCAGCCCCUUGGGAAUGUACUGACGCUCAUGUGCGAAAGCGUGGGGAGCAAACAGG